ACUCCUACGGGAGGCAGCAGUGGGGGAAUAUUGCACAAUGGGCGCAAGCCUGAUGCAGCCAUGCCGCGUGUAUGAAGAAGGCCUCGGUUGUAAAGUAACUUUCUAGCAGUGAGGAAGGUGGGUAGUGUUAAUAGUCAUAUUCAUUUGUACGUUAGUCUGCAGAAGAAGCACCGGCUAACUCCGUGCCAGCAGCCGCGGUAAUACGGAGGGUGCGAGCGUAAUCGGAAUUACUGGCGUAAAGCGCAUGCAGGUGGUUUGUUAAGUUCAGAUGUGAAAGCCCGGGGCGUCAACCUCGGAAUUGCAUUUGAAACUGGCAAACUAGAGUACUGUAGAGGGGGUAGGAAUUUCAGGUGUAGCGGUGAAAUGCGUAGAGAUCUGAAGGAAUACCGGUGGCGAAGGCGGCCCCCCGUGG
rnacentral:rRNA from 1 species